CCUCGUUCUAUGUGGCCAGCACGUGAUGGUGGGGACUCAUAGGAGACUGCCGGGGUCAACUCGGAGGAAGGUGGGGAUGACGUCAAAUCAUCAUGCCCCUUAUGUCUUGGGCUUCACGCAUGCUACAAUGGCCGGUACAAAGGGCUGCGAAACCGUAAGGUGGAGCGAAUCCCAAAAAACCGGUCUCAGUUCGGAUUGGGGUCUGCAACUCGACCCCAUGAAGUCGGAGUCGCUAGUAAUCGCAGAUCAGCAACGCUGCGGUGAAUACGUUCCCGGGCCUUGUACACACCGCCCGUCAAGUCACGAAAGUCGGUAGCACCCGAAGCCGGUGGCCCAACCCUUGUGGGGGGAGCCGUCGAAGGUGGGACUGGCGAUUGGGACUAAGUCGUAACAAGGUAGCCGUACCGGAAG
rnacentral:rRNA from 1 species